CGAGGGGGGCAAGCGUUGUUCGGAAUUACUGGGCGUAAAGCGCACGCAGGCGGUUUAACAAGUCAGAGGUGAAAUCCCGGAGCUUAACUUCGGAAUUGCCUUUGAAACUGUUAGACUAGAGUACGGUAGAGGGUGGUGGAAUUCCUAGUGUAGAGGUGAAAUUCGUAGAUAUUAGGAGGAACACCAGUGGCGAAGGCGGCCACCUGGACCGUUACUGACGCUCAUGUGCGAAAGCGUGGGGAGCAAACAGGAUUAGAUACCCUGGUAGUCCACGCUGUAAACGAUGAGUGCUAGAUGUUGGGGUUUUACUCCGGUGUCGUAGCUAACGCGUUAAGCACUCGCCUGGGGAGUACGGCCGCAAGGUUG
rnacentral:rRNA from 1 species